UACGUAGGUGGCAAGCGUUGUCCGGCAUUAUUGGGCGUAAAGCGCGCGCCGGUGGUCCUUUAAGUCUGAUGUGAAAGCCCACGGCUCAACCGUGGAGGGUCAUUGGAAACUGGGGGACUUGAGUGCAGAAGAGGAAAGUGGAAUUCCAAGUGUAGCGGUGAAAUGCGUAGAGAUUUGGAGGAACACCAGUGGCGAAGGCGCCUUUCUGGUCUGUAACUGACACUGAGGCGCGAAAGCGUGGGGAGCAAAUAGG
rnacentral:rRNA from 1 species